AUUUUUAAAAAAAUAGUGGAAACUCAUUAUGAUAGAAGUUAAAGGCUUCUCACAGAAGACAGUCUUGCUGAGAUCCUUCGUGCUGAGACACUUCAGGAGAACAUCAGGACAGCACAGAGCCCCAGUCAGCUCUGGGUCUUUCACAGGACAGGACAGGAUCUUGAAGAGCAUUAAAUGUGCAGGCAGACGUCAACACCAUCCGCACACAUAUUCACAUCCAAGUGAUAAUUCAAGCCUCAUGCUUCAUGUUUCAUGUAUGACUAAAGCUAACUGAAAGCAAAGCUGCAUUCAGGCAAUCACAGUUGUCAAUGAACACUCCUUCCACAUUAGCAUGUUUUAAAGAAUUCCAGGGCAAUGAAAUAUGGAACCCAUUGUCUUUUCUCCUAUGAUCCUAUAAUGCUGUGUCGAAUUUGAUACAAUCCACAGGGGUGUGCACGUCUUUGUAUGGCUUGUGUUGGCCUUCCGCCCUCUUCUGUUGACGUUUCUAAUUAGAGAUCUGCUGCCCUGCACUGGGAUGGUACAUAGGGAGGCUGUAACACAAUAAUAAUGUAAAGCCCACACCAGAUCACUGUCUCCAGCAGAGAGAAGGAGCUAAAUGGAAUUCUCAGUGAGGUGGCAUUCAGCACCCUCCCUGGUUGAUCUGGGUCAGAUGUUGUCAUUCACCAGGCUGGCAGUGACAGGAACAUCUCCAGGAGGUGCCACAGAAGGACAGAGAUCUGUGCUAACGGAGAGACAGGAAGCCACUGAGCAGGGACAGUGGCCUCUCAUGUAAGCAUUGCAGUAAAGCUCAGAGGAAGAGUCAUUCCUUCUGCCACCCUUCCUGCCUUUAGGGUCUGUCUGCAUCUUUCUUCUUCUCCAGUCUACUUUGCCUCUUUGUCCUUCAGCCCUGUGUUCCAUUUCUUGACUUCCUUAUUUGGGAAACUCCCAUUCUCAUUUAACCAUAUCUUUUUUCUGCCCUCAAGGAGGGACAGGCACUACUGCCUGCUGGGACAGCCUGCUGUCCGUGGAGCUGCCAAGCCCUCUCUGUUGGGAGCCACAGAGUACUUAGAGGGAGCAGCAUGGCCUCACAGAUCCUCAGCCAGCCUGGUCCGUGCUGCGGGUUCCUGAGGCAAACACUGUGACAGCAUAGAAUCCUGCUCCCACCACUGGGAAGCUACAGUAGGGGUGACUCCCUGGAAUGUGUCCCUGUCCACAGUGGAGCCAGAAAACUCAGUGUACCAGG
rnacentral:lncRNA from 1 species